CUUCCUUCCUAGAUUCCCCAACUUUCUGACAAUCACUCAUUGUUUUAAUUUAAUAAUGCAAUUUUUUAGCUUUGUUUUUACAGCAUCUUGUUGUUCUCUUUAUAUCUUUUGAUCCCAUGGAAAGAGGAGCUAUUUUUCUCAGAGCCAAAGACGAGUUGCUGAAAUGGCUGCCAGCAGAACUGUGAUGUUAAAAAAAAAAAAUCUUGCAAACUGGAAAUGGUUGAGCCAGUGGGAGGUCUUUAACAUUCCUCCUACCCUAUCUACUUGGAUGCCAGUCUCCCUCCUCCUGAAGUGUGAGCUUUUUUAUGGGACUUGGAUGGGAACUCCUCAAAGCCUCAGGAAUCACUGCUGCACCGUACAAAAUGAUCCACCCUAAGCCUGUGCAAACCUCCUCUGAAGUGCUCCAAGCUUCUUCCUUACCUGUGCUGAUUGUCUCCAAAAUGUCCUUUCUGAGAUAUCUCCAGCUUAGUUUCUUCCCAUCCUUAGUCUCACAUCAUGGACAUUACUCAACUUAAUUGAAGAACAUCAAAGCUA
rnacentral:lncRNA from 1 species